rnacentral:rRNA from 1 species
UGGGGAAUAUUGCACAAUGGGCGCAAGCCUGAUGCAGCCAUGCCGCGUGUAUGAAGAAGGCCUUCGGGUUGUAAAGUACAUUCAGCGGGGAGGAAGGGAGUAAAGUUAAUACCUUUGCUCAUUGACGUUACCCGCAGAAGAAGCACCGGCUAACUCCGUGCCAGCAGCCGCGGUAAUACGGAGGGUGCAAGCGUUAAUCGGAAUUACUGGGCGUAAAGCGCACGCAGGCGGUUUGUUAAGUCAGAUGUGAAAUCCCCGGGCUCAACCUGGGAACUGCAUCUGAUACUGGCAAGCUUGAGUCUCGUAGAGGGGGGUAGAAUUCCAGGUGUAGCGGUGAAAUGCGUAGAGAUCUGGAGGAAUACCGGUGGCGAAGGCGGCCCCCUGGACGAAGACUGACGCUCAGGUGCGAAAGCGUGGGGAGCAAACAGG